UCAGUUCUUCAAAUUAAUUUCAACUGUUUAUAUGUUUAAUUGCUUUCACCAGCUUUCUGAAUCAACGAUUGCCCAUGUGACUAUUGAAUAUAAUUGUCAGAAGAACUCUUAGAUGUUAGAAACGAUUCUAUUUUACAGACUCUCCAGCUUAUAUAUUGAUUUACGAAAACGAUUCCAUGCGAGGAAAAGAUUCUGUGUAUAAAUUAUCCAUUACAUUCCAAGAGUGUAUAAAAGUGCGAGAACGAAUUUGAAAUUAACGAAUUAUUUUGUAAGAGAGAUGAGAAGGAUUGGAGAUCGAAUACGCUUCGUGUCAGAAUGUCAUCGCUAUCAAUGUUCUGUUUAUCUUUCAAAUGACUAUAAAUCACGGCGUUGACGGAUCGUUGGAAAAAAAAAAAAAAAAAAAAAACAAAAUGAGCAGUAAAUGGAGUCAAGAUGCACUUGCAUCAAUUCUCUUGCAAUUUUCAAGAAAAUGAACACUAUAAAUAAACAUGAUCGGCCAAAAAUUCAAUUGCAUUGUCACAACAAAAGAUCAUCGAUAAAAUAGGAUGCGCGUGUUAAUGCUAGUAUUUGUGUUUAG